ACAUCGGUGGUGCAACGGUUUAGCACAUGCUCUUGGAAAGAGUAAGAUCUGGGUUCGAAUUCAGGCUGAUGCA